UACGUAGGGGGCAAGCGUUGUCCGGAAUCAUUGGGCGUAAAGAGCGUGUAGGCGGUCAGAUAAGUCCGCUGUGAAAUCUCGAGGCUCAACUUCGAGCUGUCGGUGGAAACUGUCUGGCUAGAGUCCGGAAGAGGAGAAUGGAAUUCCUGGUGUAGCGGUGAAAUGCGCAGAUAUCAGGAAGAACACCCGUGGCGAAGGCGGUUCUCUGGGACGGUACUGACGCUGAGACGCGAAAGCGUGGGGAGCGAACAGG
rnacentral:rRNA from 1 species